rnacentral:rRNA from 1 species
GACGAACGCUGGCGGCGUGCUUAACACAUGCAAGUCGAACGGAAAGGCCCCUUUGGGGGUACUCGAGUGGCGAACGGGUGAGUAACACGUGAGUAACCUGCCCUUGACUUCGGGAUAACUUCAGGAAACUGGGGCUAAUACCGGAUAGGAAUCCUUGCUGCAUGGGGGGGGUUGGAAAGCUUCGGCGGUUUUGGAUGGACUCGCGGCUUAUCAGCUUGUUGGUGGGGUAGUGGCUUACCAAGGCUUUGACGGGUAGCCGGCCUGAGAGGGCGACCGGCCACAUUGGGACUGAGAUACGGCCCAGACUCCUACGGGAGGCAGCAGUGGGGAAUAUUGCACAAUGGGCGGAAGCCUGAUGCAGCAACGCCGCGUGCGGGAUGACGGCCUUCGGGUUGUAAACCGCUUUCAGCAGGGGCGAAGCUUUUGUGACGGUACCUGCAGAAGAAGCACCGGCUAACUACGUG